CUUAACUCUCUCUGCUCCUCACAAAACACCCGCAAAACCUGGACGUCAGAGAAAAACAGCAAAAGGGCAUCACUUAUAAAUGUCUCUCAUGGAACCCCCCAGGAAGAAGAAGCACUGCAUUCAACAAGUGUUCGUACUUGUCGGAUUUCCUCUUUGUUUGGUCCUAAGAUCGAAUCUUCGUCGCAUGUUGAACAUGGGAAGCUUCUGGUUCUUUGUUCAGUUUGGUCACUUGUUCUUGGUCUUGUUCCUUCUAAUUGGAUAUCGGAGCUCAACAACAUUGGUUUCAUUUGCGAUACUUUUUGUUCCAGAUCUCCGCUGCUGCAUUGCUUCUGCUCUAAAAAUGACAACAGUAGUCAGUAGAGAGAUUGUCUAGCCAUUUUUUUCUCUUUGUUUACCUUAUUUUCUGCUAUGUUUAUGGGAAAGCUCAGUCAUUUUUUCUGAUGCUUAAACAAUCUAAAUUGACACAAUAUUUAGACUCAAA